CUUGUCAAAACCACAAAGGUUGAAGAGUCUGUUGCUGCUGUUGGGAGAGACCCAUUGCUAGUAUCUCAGUCAGACGAACAGAGUUUAUUGAACAAGAAACAGGCAAGGAAACUGAGAUCGAGCCUAACAAUGCAAGCGUUCAGAGGCCAUUUGACCUUUAUAAGGAACCUAUUAUGCUGCAGUUAUUGAGAACCGUGCAGAUUUCCAUGGUCGUGUGGUGGUUGAUGUUGGUGCUGGUAGUGGUAUUCUUUCAUUAUUUGCUGCUCAGGCUGGUGCUAAACAUGUUUAUGCGGUGGAGGCAUCUGAAAUGACAGAAUAUGCACAUAGGCUUAUUGCUAGGAAUCCAUCAUUGAGAGAACGGAUUACAGUGAUCAAAGGUAAAGUUGAGGAUGUUGAAUUGCAUGAGAAAGCAGGCAUUCUGAUUUCUGGGGCUAUAUGAUUCAGAAGGGUGUUGCAGGGAGCAUAGAUCCAUUGUCGAAAUUCAGAUCCGAGGCAACAUGAUUGUGUUGAGAUUUCCAUCUUAUUUCCAUGGUUUCUCUAUUAGUGUUGAGAUUUCAAGUCUCUUGGACUGAGGGAAAAAACUCAUCUCUGUUUUUCUUCUUUCCUUUUCUUUUCUUUAUGUUUUUCAUGUUUUAUGGAUUGGGAUUCCAAGUCUAUUUGACUAAGAAUUGAAGACUCUUUCUAGGUUUUCUUGGGUUUUAUUUGAGAGGAAAAACCCAUUAAAAUA